GGGCGGUUAGCUCAGCGGUAGAGCAUUGCCUUCACACGGCAAGGGUCGCAGGUUCGAUCCCUGCACCGCCCACCA
rnacentral:tRNA from 73 species